rnacentral:rRNA from 1 species
GGGCCCGCACAAGCGGUGGAGCAUGUGGUUUAAUUCGAUGAUACGCGAGGAACCUUACCAGGGCUUAAAUGUAGAACGACCGAUUUGGAAACAAGUCUUCUCUUUGAGCGGUCUACAAGGUGCUGCAUGGUUGUCGUCAGCUCGUGCCGUGAGGUGUCGGGUUAAGUCCCUUAACGAGCGCAACCCCUAUCUCUAGUUGCCAGCGGAUAAUGCCGGGGACUCUAGAGAAACUGCCCGUGCAAACGGUGAGGAAGGUGGGGAUGACGUCAAAUCAUCACGGCCCUUACGUCCUGGGCUACACACGUGCUACAAUGGUCGGUACAGAGGGCAGCUACCGGGUGACCGGAUGCG